rnacentral:rRNA from 1 species
GACAGCAGCAGCCGCGGGAAUACAGAGGGUGCGAGCGUUAAUCGGAUUUACUGGGCGUAAAGCGUGCGUAGGCGGCUUUUUAAGUCGGAUGUGAAAUCCCUGAGCUUAACUUAGGAAUUGCAUUCGAUACUGGGAAGCUAGAGUAUGGGAGAGGAUGGUAGAAUUCCAGGUGUAGCGGUGAAAUGCGUAGAGAUCUGGAGGAAUACCGAUGGCGAAGGCAGCCAUCUGGCCUAAUACUGACGCUGAGGUACGAAAGCAUGGGGAGCAAACAGGAUUAGAUACCCCAGUAGUCCUGUCUCUUAUACA